AAUCUCAGCUGACAGAGUUCUUCUGAUGGCAUAUCAAUAAAUUAUUUUUAUGAGCCUUGGGGAUGGAACACCCUUAACGUAUUCUCAAACUUAAAUAUUUUUUCAUAACUGAACUCUGGAGAUGAAUGAGAUUUUCUAAUAAGCCAAUUUUGGUAAGUAGAACUGGCAAUGCGGGAUGAACCAAACGACAAGUUAAAGUGCUUAAUAACACACCCAUGUAGACAUACCAAAAGGUGUUAGUCCAUGACGCAGGACAGUGGCCAUGAAAGUACUAAGGAGUGUGUAACAACUCACCUGCCAAAUGAACUAGGCCUGAAAAUGAAUGGCGCUUAAGUGUGUUACUUUCCUCGGCCCUUAUGGCAGAUACAAUGUUAUAAGGAGUA
rnacentral:ncRNA from 1 species